ACAACCUCGAGGUCACAACCUAUCUUUUUAAUGGCGUCUCCAUGGCUGUACCGGACGUAGAUCCUGCUGUUGUUAAAGCAUCCUGCAAGACGUAUUUUGAAACUGUUUGAAGGGGUUAUAGGAUGGCCCAAGAUGAGAACAAAGACAAGAUGGAGGACAGCAGGAUCAUUGCGCGCAUGAGACAAAGAAAAAGAAGACUGCUGAGCAGCAGGAAUGGCGUUCUCCAGACAGAGGAAGAGGCAGCUAUCUGGAAGACUGCAACAGUUGACCACAUGUCUGAAGAGGAGGAUGCCAUCUUGGAUGGAAAGUCGGUGUGGGUUGUUUGG